CCACUUCAGAUUCAAAUUUGAGCUAGCCAAAAAUCUGAACUUAAUGUUUGUCCCCGAAAAUUAUCUUGUAACCUUGUCUGCAGCAUACUGUAUCUUACAAAGUUCAUCGCUAUUGCUGUUCCAUGGAAUUUAGAUACAAAGAAGUUUGCAGCUAAGAAUCGAGGAACAAGGGAAGUGUCUUCAGAUGAUGCUAGAGCAGCAGUGCAUACCCGGGGCAGAAAAGGCGCAGGAUGCUUCAACCGCUGCAGAUGCAUUGAGGUCACCUUCUGAGAUUCCAGAAUCUUCUACCGUCAAGGAAGUUCCAGAAAAUAGUCAAAAUGGAUCAACCAAGCAAACAAAAUAAGCUAAGGGCCGAUGAAGUUGCAAGCAUGAAAUGUGUUUCAUGAUCCGAUUGGCUGUUUCCAGGCUUAAAUCAAGUUGUUUUUGUCCUUCCGUGAGAACAGAUGAACGCUAUAGUUAACUUCCUUGCAAAGCCUGGCUAGGUGCAUGUAACUAGGAGUUAGUUGUAUAUUACCUACCCUCACGGUAUCACUGAAUCCCAGUGUUAUGCGGAUGAUGUAGUCUUCAGAAGACAGCGCAAGCACAUUGUCAGGGGUUUGACUUGUUUUGCCCCCCCCCCCCAUUACUUAGGUAUCAAGUAGCGUCUCCUAGGCAUUUGAUUAUGGGCUAAUUCAAGUGUUUACAAUAAUGUUUAGCACCUGUUGUUUAAAACAUGUCAUGGUACCAAAUAUGACGAAGAUGUAUUGCAUUUAUAUGAGAGAAUGAGAGAUUUGAACUGCUUUAGUUUGGUCUCCGACCAUAA